UGAGCAUGCUUCCUGGACAUUGGGAAACACCCCGUUAUAGCCCCCUCUGGUGGUCGUUCCUAUAGGUACACGAGCGGAGAGACACGGGCCUAAGCCCGUGGCUUGAAGCCAUCACGGUAUUUCUCUCACACGCGUUAGAAAUACAAUUCCCUCCCUUAUGCUUCAUAGUUACCAUACCGAAACAUGCCUACUUUAACAAAUAAAGUGAGUUAAAAGCGACCAAGGAUUGGACUACUUUCUUCAAGAAAAAAAUAGAAACAAUCGUUUGACCUCCUGUCUCUGGGAACAUUCCCGGAUGCCUUUGAUAAGUCCCAGAAAUUAAACCUUAGGAGGUACGCUUCAAAAUUCAAGUUAAAGGGUGAGCAUCUGAAAUACUUGCUUGUUUAUAACGUCUUUAUUUAACAUAGCAGGGGUAAAGUAGCCUAUGCGAAUAGACCAAUUGCCUCUAUCAAAUAAUGAUCCCACUGCAAAAUCACAUUAUUUUAAACCACUACUCACCCUAUGUACACUAAGAAUAUGGGGAGCAUAUUUUGAUGCUUGUUUAUAACGUCAUUAUUUAAGAUAGCAGGGGUAAAUGGAUAGACCAAUUGCCUCCAUCAAAUAAUGCUCCCACUGCAUAAUCACAUUAUUUUAAACCACAACUCACCCUGUACACUGUAAGAAUAUGGGGAGCAUAUUUUGAUGCUUGUUUAUAACGUCAUUAUUUAAGAUAGCAGGGGUAAAUGGAUAGACCAAUUGCCUCCAUCAAAUAAUGCUCCCACUGCAUAAUCACAUUAUUUUAAACCACAACUCACCCUAUGUACACUGUAAGAAUAUGGGGAGCAUAUUUUGAUGCUUGUUUAUAACUUCAUUAUUUAAGAUAGCAGGGGUAAAUGGAUAGACCAAUUGCCUCCAUCAAAUAAUGCUCCCACUGCAUAAUCACAUUGUUUUAAACCACAACUCACCCUAUGUACACUGUAAGAAUAUGGGGAGCAUAUUUUGAUGCUUGUUUAUAACAUCUUCAUUGAAGAUUUCAGGGGUACAGUAUGUAGAUAGACCAAUACAUACAAUAAAAUGUGUGGAUAGUGUCUUGGUAAGAUAGCUCUUUAAUGAUGAAAGUUCUUUAAUGAAUGUUCACUGCAGAAGGAGAGCUCUACGUUGGGAGCAGAAGAGCCCUUCAAUCCAAAGAGGAGGCAAGACAACUCUUUAUAGAGUUUCACUCCUCUCCCAUGGGGGGACAUACGGGCCUCCUGAAAACCUGCAGAGCAAUAUCCUCCAUAUUUUACUGGCUUGGCAUGUCAGUGGACAUUAACAACUGGAUAGGCCAUUUGUUAUUGCGGUUUUGUGUUUUUGUGUUUUAUUAACAGCUACUUUCUUAAAGGUCUUGGAAUGUGAUAAAUGCCGGAUGGUUGGAAAACCUUUGACUGCUGCCCAGCCAUUACAGUGCAUACAGGUGUCUGCUGUCUGGGAGCUAAUUGGUAUUGACCUGACAGGACCUCUCCCAAAAACUGUGAAUGGCUUCCAGUACAUUUUAACAGCCACAGAUUACUUCUCAAAAUGGGUUGAGGCUUUCCCAUUAAAGAAAAAAACUGCAGCUGAAGUGGGACGCCACAUCUGCUCGAUUAUUUAUACACAUGGUUGUCCCGAAAUAAUCUUAUCUGACCAGGGAAAGAGUUUGUUAAUGAACUCAACACCAGCCUUUGCAGUAUUUUGGCUAUUCA